rnacentral:rRNA from 1 species
GAUUUUCACAUCAUCCGCCUGGGAACUACAAGCAUUGCUUUAAACCCAAAGGACUUGGCGGUACUUUAANGCCACCUAGAGGAGCCUGUCCUGUAACCGAUACCCCCCGUUUAACCUCUCCUCCCUCUAGCUAUUACAGCCGUCUAGACCGCCGUCGUCAGCUAACCCUGUGAAGGUUUGCAGUUAGCAAUAUGCUUUAAUCCCCAAAUCGUCAGGUCGAGGUGUAGCGCAUGAGGAGGCCUGAGAUGGNGCUACAUUCUCUACCCCAGAGANACACGAAUAUCUUCACUUUANAUNANAAUUGAAGGAGGAUUUAGAAGUAAGGGAACAAUAGAGCGCUUCCCUGAAAU